rnacentral:tRNA from 1 species
AAGACCUGUAAGAUUUUAUCUCACAUAUUCUGAAUGCAACCCAGACACUUUAAUUAAGCUAAGACCUC